CAUGAAAAACAUCUUUUUAACUCAUAUAGAGACAAUGUACCAAAUCAAAAAUUUACACAAGUAUUGUUUAGUAAAGAAGCAAGUUUAUAGGAGUUAUUUACAAGUUUACAGGAGCAUGGAUGACUAAAAUGCCCAACCCAACAUGUGUAGUAGCUCUCAAGUGACAUCCUUAAAACCCUUUAUACAACUUGCAGUGGUUCAUCCAACCACAGUCUCCAUCCACUUCUGAAUAAUCAUUGCUGUACCUUGUAAGUCUUGUAAGUUUCAGGAACGUCCUGAGACUUGUGAGUUUUGUUUACUUCCUGAGCCUUAAUGGAAAGUAUCAUUUUGCAGGAAAUAGUUAUACAACAAGCCCUAGCUACCCUAGGAAGAGGGGACAUUGUUUGGAAACUAGGCCUUUAAAGGUUCACAACCUUUAAGAGAACUCAAAAGAGCAGUGCUGUGAUCUUACGGCUUUAGUGCCUUUAUAAGAAAAGAUAUCAAAGAAUAUACUUUUCCCUCUCAUACAGACAUAAAAAGACAAAGUCAGUGAACAGAAAUCUGUGGAUAAACCAAGAGAAAAAAAUCCAGAGAGACACUGAAUUUGUAUUUCUGCAACCUCUUGAACUAGUACAAAUGAUUUUUUGCUGUUUAAGCCACCCAGUCUGUGAUAUAGUGUUAAAAUAACACAGACAAACACAUCCUAAACUGCAUAAGCUUAAGUUUUGAUAUGUGGACUCUUUGUUUUUAGUUCAAUUAUUGUUGUACUAUUUAGCAUGAAAUCUAUACUUCUGCCUCAUUCACCUCAGUAAUUUGCAAAACAUCAAAAUUGGAAAAUAGGCUUAAUGUGAUUUGUUUCUUUAUAGUAUAUAGAUUCUUCAGGGUUGGGAGAGAAUGUGAUGAUCAUUUGCUAAGUCAUUUCAUUCUGGAGAGCAUUUAUUAU
rnacentral:lncRNA from 1 species